CGCCGGUGAGGGGACAGCGCCGGCUCCGCGCUCCCGGCGGCUCCGCUCCGCUCGCCGGCUCAGGCUCGCAGUACUCCAGCGGAGCGUUUGGAGCGGCUGGAAGCCCGAGGAGAAGGCGGCGGGAGGGAACUUUGCCCGCCCAGGUGCCCGGGAUGCCGGCUGGGGUGGCCGCUGUAGCCCCGGCCGCCUCCACCUGGGCAUGGAUGUCGUCAAGAUGUGCUUUCCUACCGUCACCGACCAGAAUGGGCUCUUCUGCUGCAAUCUUGCUUUGGAGACUGUACUAGAAACGUGAAAGGAGGGGCACUGUCUUCUGUUCUGUAUCUUUGAAAGGCCUCCUGUAUUGUAGGGGAAGAAAACCUCUCGUUUGCUGAAUUAAACUGUCCAAAAGUUUAUUUCUUUCUGUGUA